UGUGUAGGAGUAUAUAAAUUAAAUCAUACAGGCUUGAGGGGAUUAUAAAAUUAGGUAGUUAUUGAAAAUAGGCCACAAAAGACUAAAUAAUUGAAAAAACAUUAACUUAACUAAUCAGCAUUGUUCUGUUUUCAUGCAGGAUGAGAUCAACUUUGAAUAUAUAAAUAAAGAGAAACACAAAGAAUGGCAGAGUGUCAAGAACAAGGUGGUGCAGGAUAUAUUGUUUCACAAUGGAAUUAUCCCUGGUUUGGGGAAAUGGACACAUGAGUGGAGUCAUCCGGCCAAGAGGGGGAAAAAAUCGACAGAACAAGCAUCAUUGAGUUGUUGUCUGAGUGACAGCAGUGUAUGAGAGGCUGGGGACUUCAAUGUAAGCCAACAGUCAUUUCAUCAAUCCUCUCUCUCUGAGCUCUUCCAGCAGCCUUCCUAGAUUAAAUCCUUCGCCCACCCUGUUUGUUUCUGUAGACCAGCAUGCAGCUGUUAAUUAUUUUGGCUUGGCAACCCUUCCUUCUCCCUGCCCGCCUGUUUCCUGCACUAUGACCUAUUUAAUCUUUUUGUGAUGGAAGAAAUAAAAACAAGCAAGUACAUCUUUUUCUUAACA
rnacentral:lncRNA from 1 species